GACGUAGGGCGCGAGCGUUGUCCGGAUUUAUUGGGCGUAAAGAGCUCGUAGGCGGUUUGUCGCGUCUGCUGUGAAAACUCGGGGCUUAACUCCGGGCCUGCAGUGGGUACGGGCAGACUAGAGUGCGGUAGGGGAGACUGGAAUUCCUGGUGUAGCGGUGAAAUGCGCAGAUAUCAGGAGGAACACCAAUUGCGAAGGCAGCUCGCUGGGACGUUACUGACGCUGAGACGCGAAAGCGUGGGGAGCAAACAGG
rnacentral:rRNA from 1 species